CGGUAUUGAAGCCCAGGCGGAGCUCGGCCGCCCACACAAGUGAUGGUCAAAUUCAUUGAUGAUGAAAGGAAAAAGUAUGGGGUCGAGUCAAUCUGCAGAAUACUGCCAAUUGCCCCA
rfam:Enhydrobacter aerosaccus SK60 contig00035, whole genome shotgun sequence.